GAAAUGCGAUAAGUAAUGUGAAUUGCAGAAUUCAGUGAAUCAUCGAAUCUUUGAACGCACAUUGCGCCCGCCAGUAUUCUGGCGGGCAUGCCUGUUCGAGCGUCAUUUCAACCAUCAAGCCCCCGGGCUUGUGUUGGGGACCUGCGGCUGCCGCAGGCCCCGAAAACCAGUGGCGGGCUCGCUGUCACACCGGGCGUAGUAGAUUUUUCGUCUCGCCCAGGGCGUGCUGCGGGUUCCGGCCGUUAAAAAGCCUCUCUUUUAACCCAAGGUUGACCUCGGAUCAGGUAGGAAGACCCGCUGAACUUAGGC
rnacentral:misc_RNA from 1 species